CUAAAUUACUAGAAGCUCACUUUCGAGUGGAUUUGGAUUGGAUUCAAAGUUCUUUCUUUGGGCUUUUAUCUUUUCUUGAAUCUUCUUAUCUUUAACUAAAUUCUUUUUAUCUGAUGGGUGAACUUUUUAUUUUGUCAAUAAAGUUUUAUGUAUUUUGCAGGAUUGUUUGCUGCUACAAAUGAUGGCGAAUAUGCUUUCUUAUGUCAUGUAAUUUUCUUUUCUUGAUUGUGCAUUCUUGGGGAUCGGGUGAUUUAUCUGAUCUCGGAUUCAUGAGAUUCUAUUGUUUCUGCAAAUCCUUGAUUAGUUUCAGGACAAAAUUUGCUGGACUGAUAUUGAAAAGCGAUGGGUUGGCUAACCAAAAUUUUAAGAGUUUCUAGCUAUAAAGGGCAGUAUCUUGGGAAGUAUGCAGAAGAUAGAUAUUGGGAUGAGCCUCACCAUUCAGUGGAUGAUGUAUCAGAUUUUGACAGAGAAGAUAUUGAUUGUGCUAUUGCACUUUCUCUUUCAGAACAAGAUCAAAAAGGGAAAAAGGUCAUUGGUAAGUUGCAUUGCUGUUAAAAUUUGUGUAUUUAUUUAUGUCUGAUUGCUUUGUGUAAAAUCUGUAAGUUUCUUAUAAAAUUCUGUUUAGUUUCUUUUAAUCAACAUUUGCUUGUGUAUUGUAUAAGAUAGGGUUAAGAACAAGUGUUUUCCUUAUUGAUUCACUAUCAUGCUUUAUUAUUGUUUAAUAGUCAAAUAAGAAAUGUGUUUAAAGCAGAGGAAGAUGAUGGCUCCUCUCAGUCAGAGGAAGCUGAAGGGCGUGCAAAAGCAGAGGAAGCUGAAAGGCGUGCAAGAGCAGAGGAAGCUGAAAGGUGUGUGAGGGCUGAGGAAGAUGAAAGGCAUGUGAGAGCUCAACUAGAGGAGGAUGAACAACUUGCUAAAGCUCUUCAAGAAAGUUUAAAUGAGUCACAAUAUGAUUUUGGAAAUGCGAUUUCACCUUAUCCAUUUCUCUUUCCAUCUGGCUAUAGGUAGAUUUGGUUGUAUGGAACAUUUGUUUUGGUCUCUGACCAUUGUCUAAGUGCUGGACAGUAUUAGUUAGAUUUCAAUCAAAUUUCAAAAGAAUAAUUGUUUCUUUUGAAUGCUUUCUGUGCAUGAAGUUAAGAUGCUUUGUAUCAGAUUUGAGCUGGCAAAACCUGUUUCAUUCAUGUGCAAAAUUUUUUCCUUGUGUUUCUGGGUAGGGGGUGGUAUUUAGCCAUAGCAUCUCAGAAUAUAGAGAGUAGUUUUCUUUACAAAUAUGGUACUUGCAGGGGAGGCAUUGUUGUUUCAGAAUGACAUUGGUAAUUGAUGGUUUGAAGUUCUAGCUA
rnacentral:misc_RNA from 1 species